AAAACAUAUUAUUAUAUGAAAAUAUGAAGAUGCUUCUCCCCCUUAAUUAUGCAAGAUUUUAAAAAGAGACUUUAGGCCAGGCAUGUGGCUUAUACCUGUAAUCCCAGCACUUUGGAAGGCUGAGGCGGGCAUAUCACUUGAGUUCUAGACCAGCCUGGCCAGUUUUUUAGGCUUAAAUCUUAAUUCCAGAAUCCUAUGUAGAAUUGUUAUUUUAUUGCGGUGUUUGGUCAAGCUCAUAGCUUCUGAUGUCUUCAUACAGGGCAUUUGACACUCUUGCAAAAGCAUUGAAUCCUGGAGAGAGCACAGCCUGCCAGAGCUCAGUAGCGGGCAUGGAAGGAAGUGUACACCUAAUCACUGGAGAUUCAAGCAUAAAUUACACCGAAAAAGAGGGGCCACUUCUCAGCGAUUCACAUGUAGCUUUCAGGGCAAGAAAACAGCAUAUCACUGGUGAAAGCUUACUGGAAUGAACUUUUUACUCUUGGUCUUGCCCAGUGCUGGCAAGUGAUGAAUGUAGCAACUAUAUUAGCAACAUUUGUCAAUUGUCUUCACAAUAGUCUUCAACAAGAAAGAAGAAAAUUAUUGAUGGAGCACAUCUUCAAACUACAGGAGUUUUGUAACAGCAUGGUUAAACUCUGCAUUGAUGGAUACGAAUAUGCCUACCUGAAGGCAAUAGUACUCUUCAGUCCAGAUCAUCCAAGCCUAGAAAACAUGGAACAGAUAGAGAAAUUUCAGGAAAAGGCUUAUGUGGAAUUCCAAGAUUAUAUAACCAAAACAUAUCCAGAUGACACCUACAGGUUAUCCAGACUACUACUCAGAUUGCCAGCUUUAAGACUGAUGAAUGCUACCAUCACUGAAGAAUUGUUU
rnacentral:lncRNA from 10 species